rnacentral:snoRNA from 1 species
UAAGAUAUGAAGGAUUGGAAACAUCUCAGAGUAUCAGUGUGGUUUUGCUUUGCCCAUAGGUCUAUUACUUAGGUCUGUGAUAAGGUACUACAAAACAACA